UACGUAGGGUGCAAGCGUUAAUCGGAAUUACUGGGCGUAAAGGGUGCGCAGGCGGUACGUUAAGUCAGAUGUGAAAUCCCCGGGCUCAACCUGGGAAUGGCAAUGGAAACUGGCGGGCUGGAGUAUGGCAGAGGGGGGUGGAAUUCCGCGUGUAGCAGUGAAAUGCGUAGAGAUGCGGAGGAACACCGAUGGCGAAGGCAGCCCCCUGGGCUAGCACUGACGCUCAGGCACGAAAGCGUGGGGAGCAAACAGG
rnacentral:rRNA from 1 species